rnacentral:rRNA from 1 species
GACGAACGCUGGCGGCGUGCCUAAUACAUGCAAGUAGAACGCUGAAGCUUGGUGCUUGCCCCGAGCGGAUGAGUUGCAAACGGGUGAGUAACGCGUAGGUAACCUGCCUGGUAGCGGGGGAUAACUAUUGGAAACGAUAGCUAAUACCGCAUAAGAGUAGAUGUUGCAUGACAUUUGCUUAAAAGGUGCAAUUGCAUCACUACCAGAUGGACCCGCGUUGUAUUAGCUAGUUGGUGAGGUAACGGCUCACCAAGGCAACGAUACAUAGCCGACCUGAGAGGGUGAUCGGCCACACUGGGACUGAGACACGGCCCAGACUCCUACGGGAGGCAGCAGUAGGGAAUCUUCGGCAAUGGACGGAAGUCUGACCGAGCAACGCCGCGGGAGUGAAGAAGGGUUUCGGAUCGUAAAGCUCUGUUGUAAGAGAAGAACGAGUGUGAGAGUGGAAAGUUCACACUGUGACGGUAGCUUACCAGAAAGGGACGGCUAACUACGUG